GGAUUUGCCGCCGCGCUUGGGAAGCCGCCACCGCCGCCGCUGCUGCAUGGCACUAGGCUCCCGGCGGGGCAGGUUCCGCAGCCGGCACCGCUCUGGCUAGGCGCACGGAGGCGCCUUGCUUAGUCUGACCCUUAUUUGGCCAGGCGUAAAACUUGUCCUGCCUAAAAGCCUACUGAGACCUCCUAACUGGUCUAAUCCGCGGGAGACGCCAAAGGCGGCGGCCGUUUGUGCGCACAGGAUUUUUCUUGGAGCUGUAGCAGUCUAGGAAGCCAGGGUGGAACUUUUGCUAAGCUCCCGUUGUAAGCCCAGAGCUGUAAUAACUGCUGAGACACAACCAGCAGUAUACAGGCUCCAGUUGGAAAUCGAGAACUUUCCAGGGCUGUCACCCAGGCUGGAGUGCAGUGGUGCCAUCACAGCUCACUGCAGCCUCGACCUCCUAGGCUAAAGUGAUCCUCCCAACUCAGCCUCCCGUAGCUGGGACUACAGGAAUGUGCCACGCCCAGGUAAUCUUAAUUUUUUGUGGAGACGAGGUCUUGCUAUGUGGCCCAAGCAGAUCUCGAACUCCUGAGCUCAAGGGAUCCUCCCACCUUGGUCUCCCAAAGUGCUGGGAUUUGCAGGCGUGAACCACCACACCUGGCCAUAAACCAACUUCUCAUUGCUUACCUGGCUUUCCAAGAAAAGAGAGAGGGCAGAGGGAAAAUAUUUAUUAUUUUGCUAUGUACUGAGUAUUCUAAGCAUGGACUUGUAUCGUCUCUGUUCUCUCAACAACCUCUCUAAAACUUCAACGUAGAAAUUUCCAUCUUAAAAUUAAGCGACAAGAACUAGAAAUGGCAAGUAAUUCAUCCAGAGGUUACUGGGAUUUGAAUACUGGACAGGCAGAUCCCCCUCAUUUCAAAUUAAUACUACAUUAGCUGUCUUUUUUAUUUCUUUUUUCUUUUUGUUUGUUUGAGACAGGAUCUCGCUUUGUACGCCAGGCUGGAGUGCAGUGGCGCGAUCCUGGGUCACCUCCCAGAUUCAAGCAAUUCUGUGCCUCAGCCACCAAGUAUCUGGGACUACAGGCGUGAGCCCGGCUAAUUUUUGUAUUUUUAGUAGAAACAGAGUCUCACCAUAUUGCCCAGGCUGGGCUCAAACUCCUGGCCUCAAGUGAUCCUCCCACUUCUGCCUCCCAAAAUGCUGGGAUUAGCACCUGACCUUACGUUAGCAAUCCUGUUGACUUAUUUAAGACAAAACGUGCUUUAAGACAAAAUCUGUGCCAAAGGUUUUCAGAUAAAGAUAAAAUUAGCAAUGUAACCAUAAAAUUCAAAGUUGCCUUGGGCUGAGUUGGUAGAAUGUUUAUGCAGAUCAAGGAACUCCAAAAGUUAAAAAACAGAAGUGGAAGUGAGCAUUAGGGAAUGGGGAAAGAGUUGGUGGAGAGAGGAAAUAUUUGUGUAAACAUUUAACCAUCUCCAAACACCAGCAAAGAACAGUUGAAACGAUUUGCUAUACUCACUGUCCACCCGUGUUAACUUUAUGGUAUGUGACAUACAGCAAAAAUUACAUGUAAUUUUUGACUAAGCCUUUUAGCUCUUUCAAUCCCUUCGUAGUAUGUCACCCCCUCUCUUCCCAUAAUUAAAAAUUAUAAGACACCUAGUAAAUAUAAUACACUCAUAGAAUUAAGUUAUAAGUCCAUCAAGUACAUUUCCAAUUGGAAGUUAAGAGUGAUGCUGACCCUUCACAGUUGACUGGGCUGAAGUUGGGAACUGAUUCAAUAAACUUCCACCACAAGGAUGUCAAAUUGCUCCUCAGGGUAUUCUCAGAGAGUCUUUUCCCUAGGCUUGAUCUCCUUACCCUAAGUGUUAGGACACACCAUUCCUCUCUUGCUUGCAGUAUUCAAUGACUUUACCCACUAAUAAAAUGAUAGUAAAUAGUAAGAGUGAAUAUGGCUUGUAAGUAAUGCUAACAAAACUGUGAUGGCUUAGCAAAGUAAAAGAUGGUUUUAUGGUCAGUAAGUUUGGAUUAAAGCUUACUAAAGCUUGAUGCUUUGUUACCAGUCUGCUAAAGAACUACCUUCUUAAUUUGAUUUCCUACUUACUGGAUACCUAUUGGAAAACUAGAGAGAUAUGAUAGGCUUUCAUUUAUUGCUGCCGUAAAUAAAUUUUUAAAAUAGAGAAAUAACAGCUUUGUCAUUAGUGUAGAGCACAGUUUGCCUCUGCUAGGUCAGUAUUGGGCUUGCUUCGUUUAAGUCAUUAACCAUUAGGAUCACCCAACUUGUCCUGCCUAAAAGCCUACUGAAAAAACAUGCAUAUAACUUUUGCAUAUUUAUUUUGCUACUUAUUGUUGAUUUUCUAUAGGAAACUAUUUAUACUCCUCAGUGUAUAUGGCCAACUUGGAAGUUCUACUUCCUAUAAUUAUGUCAGCAGUUAGUGAAGAUGAUCAAAACAGCCAUUCUGAAUUUAAUAAACAGAUGAGCCUCAGACUCUGGAUCUCCAUGACCCAACCCUAUGAGGCUCUGCCUGAAGAACCAAUCAAGCUUCCCACUUUGAUAUUUUAGUGACUGUAGCAUCUUGUUCCUCUUCUAAAUUAAACACCACAGAUGCUCCCAUUUCAUGGCUGUGUAGGCACGAUGGACUCACCACUGCCUUCCAUACCACCACCUGGUUUAUACAAUAAUUUUCCAAUUCUAGUUGUCCAAAACGAAGCUAUACAAAACUCACAAAUCCAUUAUUGUCUUCCAUGUAGAGAUAAAAAAGCAAGGAAUAUGCUUGUUAAAAAGCAUGCAAUACUUUAUGAAUCCUCGGUGAUGUACUUUUUGGGCUCGCUGCUGCUGGAGAUUUUGCUAAUGCCCCUACACGUUUUAAUGCAGUCCACCAAGCUCUUUGCUAGUAAGCUGGUUUCCACUUUUUUUUUUUCCUUUUUCUUUUUCUUUUCUUUUCUUUUUUUUUUUUAAACAGACAGGAUCUCCCUUUGUUGCCCAGGCUGGAGUGCAGUGGUUAUUCAUAGGCAUGAUGAUGGCUCACUACAGUUUCAAACUCCUGGACUUAAACAAUCCUGUCUCAGCCUCCUGAGUAGCUGGGACUUACAGAUGCGCACCACCAUACCUGGCAUCCCACAUAUUUUUCUAAUCAUUAUCCCCUUCUUUCCUAAAUUUUCUUCAAGGAAACCAAACUCAGUCCCAACUUCCAUAAGCUAACACUUAUACAAUUAAAAUGACAUUUAGCUUCUGGAAUCAAUGUGGAAAGAAAUGACAACUUAUUUGCUGAUUAUUUUUCACUGUAAUAAAUAUUAGGCCUUUUAUCUGGAAGGAAAUACCAAACCCUUGUUUAAUAUUAAUAACUUGUAAAUUAUUGUACACGUAAUUUCAUUCUCUCUUCCCAUGUCUUCAUUUUUCUGCCUCUGGCUUUUCACCUUGUUGUGAAUUCCUAGUUUUAUAGUACUUUUAUACUGUAUGAUACUGACUUCUUAAGCAUACAAAAAACUUCAGAACUCAAGCAAUUCCACCUGUAAGCCUUGUCUAGUGAUGCCUAUGGCAAAAAAGGACCCAUACAUUUGAUGUACUUAUCACUCAAAAAUCAUUCCCAGAGAAUUCUCAGGAAACUCAGAACAGGGCCUACCCUGAAUUCUGAGAACAGGACCAUUUUUAAGUCCUUUAAGUCCUUCAUUGACACCCUUCCUUUCUCUUACUUUCUUUUCUUUCUUAUUUUUCUCUUUCUUUCUUUUCUUUUCUUUUUUUCUUUUUCUUUUCUUUCCUUUCUUCCUUCUUUCCUUUCCUUUCCUUUUUUCCUUUCUUUUACUUUUCUCUUUCUUUCUUUCUCUCCCUUUCCUUUCCUUUUCCUUUUCCUUCCCCGUCCCUUCCCCGUCCCGUUCCAUUCCGUUCCAUUCUGUCUUGCUCUGUUACCCAGGCUGGAGGGCAGUGGUGCAAUCAUAACUCAGUGCAGUCUUGACCUCUUGGGCCCAAGGGAUCCUCCCAUCUCAGCCUCCUGCAGGCAUGCACUAUCAAGUCCAGCUGAUUUUUUUUUUUUUUUCAUUUUAUUUUUUCUAAACACCGGGUUUCACCAUGUUGCCCAGGCUGGUCUGGAACUCCUGGCUUCAAGUGAUCUUCCUGCCUUGGCCUCCCAAAGUGCUGAGAUUACAGGCAUGAGCCACAGUGCCCGGCCAACACCCUUACCUUUAUGUUCCCAGUCACAUUAUGUCAAAUAUUUCAGAAUGCUUCUUUGUUUCAAAUUAAAUACACAUUCAUAAAUUUACUGCUUUGGUUCUUUGGAUAAUCAAUCAGUCAGGUCUAUAGGAGAGAUGAUUUUUGUUGUUUUUCUUGUGAAAAAUGUGAAGAAUAAGUUGAAUGGUUGGCAUACUGCCACAUCUUAUAGCCAUUGAGUUAAAUAUUCAUUUGAAUUAGGUUUAAAACGUGGUUGAGGCUCUUGAAAUGCUAGUAAUCCAUAGAUUCUUUAUCAUUAGUGCCUCACGCAUUAGAAAUAGCAGUACUUCUGCUGGGGAAUGUAUCAUCUGGGAAAAGUCUUGGCUACCCUACCUGCAGGUCCUCUAUUCAUAGUGUAAUAAAAGAAAAACAAUAAAAAUGAUCUUUUCUACAAGAUUAUCCAAAACUCCUACAGCAUCCCUCCAGGCAUCAGCUGAGGGCUCUUAUUCCAAAGUCACUUACUGUUGCUGGAAUUCUUUUAUUCUGCCAGGAUCCAGGCAGUCGCUGCUGCCAUGAUCUAGUCCCUAAUGACCUCUCUCUUCAGCUUGGCCAGCUAAGCUCUCUCCUGCUGGCGCCCUGGCCCUGCCCCUUCUCUGCUCUCAGGUAACAGAGAAAGAGGAGUUGUGGUUGGCCCUGGAACCUGGAUACAGACCCAGGGGAAGUCUAAAGCUCUCCACUCUGUUCAGCCAGAGGCCACCAGCCUCUGCACCAGCCCUAAUUGGCUCUAGAGGUGCAACUGAUCGGUCUCCUCCUCUUUUAUCUCUGCUCAGUCAUCACCAUGUCUCCAGGUCAGGGUCUGUGGUCUUCUCAGAGAGACACACCCUCCUCCCUAUCAGGGCUGUACCUGGCUAGAAGAGUUUGUUUAAACAUCUGCCCCUGCAGUGCGCACUGGGUGGUUUCCUGUCUUUGUGUCCUUCUCCUAAAUUGGAGCCACUUCAUCCCAGUCACCUUGGAACCUGACUCAAGAAAUGGCAGUUCCAUGCCUAUUUCUCUGGACACACAAAGGGGUCCUGUCUCCAGGGUAAUCUCAGAUUGGAUCACCCCUUGUUUCACUUAGACUCAGGUGCCCCUUCUCCCAACGAGGAUGCAUAUAGAAUAGAAUUAGGCCCUGCUCCCAGACAAGCAAUCUAGAAGUCCAUUCUCAUUGGUUGACCUUCUGUGGUGUUCCUGAAAUUGCCUUGUAGCCAAUCAGACACUAAGUAAACCCAGGAGCCUUGGAACCUCUGGACCUCAGUUUUCCUUGACUCACUGAUUUUCCACUGGUCUGGUGCCUCAGAAGAACCAGAUUCUCCUGUUCAGUCGUCACUUCCCUUCUGCUGCUUCCCUGCUUUAGAAACUAAGCCCUGUCUUGCUUUUGUCAAUUCUGUAUUUAUACCCCUACACAAAACUGAAUGGCCACUGGCCUCCAGAUGGUUCUCCUACACUUCAGUCUUUCACUGCUAGCCUGCCUGCCGAAUUGGAAACCCUGGUAUGACCAUUUCCAAAAUUAGAAACCAGACUGCACCAUCUCCCAGGGGCACUAUGCCUGCAUCUCUCAGCACUCAGUCGAGCCAACCUCUGCAAGUGUCCCAGACACCCUUCCUUCCAGUCUCUUCUACUCCCCUCCCCCAUAUUUCUGGCUAUGGUGAUUUGGGCUUUUGCCUUCCACUCUUUGCCCAACCUUGCUGAAGUCUUAACACAUUGGACCUCCCCUGCCUGAACUAUGCCAAGCAGAAGAAAGGCGAAUUCAAGGGUUACCUAAACCCUGGAUAUUCUUUCAGAGGCCUCAUCACACAUCCUAUCAAACACUGGAAAAUGUCCUAUCCCACAUGAAAAGCACGACGUUUUGUUAUGAAAAUUAAAGGAAAUCAUAUAAUUUUCCUCUUGAAACAUUUAUUAAUUGCAUUUUAUAAUUUGCUUUGUGUUUUAGAGCCAGGCCAUUUUCUUGUCCAGCUCUCAAACAAUUUGAUAAGACUGGGAAAUGCUUAUGAGCUCUGGGCACUGCACCUAUAGUGAGAACUUGAGCCUUAAAGGAUUAGAAAAAUGCCUCUGGGAGGAAAGCAAACACACACGUCUCUAUGAUGCAGUUCAAGCCCCUCACCCCCAUCAUCACUUAAAUCUCUCUCUUGCCCAGUUUCUAUAUCCUAAUGGGCUUCUUUGCCUGAUCCCCUGUCUUGGCUACUCACCUUCUGCCAGCAGCUCUCAGACAAACACUCCCCUUAUUCCCAAAGCAAGCUGGCCUGCCUGGAUUUCAAGAGUUUCACCAGCCCCUAGAUUCCCUUUCAAGCCCUUGUUCCACCUCUGAGGACCCUGCCCCCAGGCGACUGCCACUUUGGACUAUGGCAUUUGUUUGCUUGACCCUGUAGAAAUGAUAACUGAACUCUCUUAAGGCUGCAGCUUCAUCUGGCUCUCUGGAGCCCCAGCCCCCUUCAAAGCCCUGAUCUGGGAUUGCAUAUUGGGUGCUUCAGUCUUUCCCUGCCUGCUGGGACUGACCAGCAAAGGCCAUUUGUGUCCCAAGUAGGACAGCUACCAGAAAUCACACUUCACAUUUUCCUACUUAAGGUGCCUGCUUACAUUUCCCUGUGCUUUGAGUGUCUCCUUCUCUAAAGGAGCCUUUUAUGAGUCAGUUACAUGUGGCAUCCCUGCUACACUUCUCUGUGGCUUUUCUGAUCAGUUAUACAGAUUAAGAACAUGUACAAGAAAGCCAAAAUAUCCCCAGCAAUUACCCCAGGUUACGUCUCUUGUAAAUGUUAACCAUUACUCAGUUGAAAUAGCCAUUAAUAGUUGGCUUUUGUGUUCCAGGAUUUCUGAGGUCACUGAAUUACUAGUGAUUCUGCAAUUUCAAUAUAUUUCUUAAAAUUAAAUUACACAUAUUUUGGGUACACAGUGAUCCAGUUAAGAGGGAGAGUCUGCAAUUAUAUAUUUUUGUCUCUUUAGUUUCCUUUCUCAUUUUUUUCCCCCAGAAAGGAAAUUAGACUAGCCUUUUAAAAAUGGUGUUCUGCUACAGUCUGCAAUUUUGAGAGGAAAGGUGAUGAAUGCCUUUAUUUUCAUGUCGUCAAAAGCUCAGCAAGAAUUUGCGUCUAUUUUGACUGUGGAGCCUACUGUGUGCAAAACAGGUGUGACAAAAUCCCCCCUAUUAGAGCUGUUUUCUUUCCAUUUUCUAUUUUAAAAAAACUUUUCUCUCUGUGGUAAUCACUUAACCCUAAAAGGCCUGGAUAUUUAUACAAAAAGGUACCAUGCUUCAUUUGUUAAAUACUCUUUCUCUUCUGAGUUUGAUUUUAAUUUUAGUUAUUUAAUUGUUUGGUCCAAGAUAGACUUAAAACAUCUUAUUUUGAAAGAAAACAUGAUUAAGUUCCUGGAAUAUUUACUUGAUCACUUGAACCAAUCCAUGGUGUUCCUCCAUUGGCAUUCCUCCGCGGGACGUGUGAUGACUAGCCUGCUAGUCUUGGAAAAUACUCCUCCCCUGCCCUUCUCUGUCCUUAUCUAAGCUGGCUUCUACAGGCUGUUUUCCAGACCCAUGUGUCAGCUGGCUUCCUACUGGGCUAGGCUAACAGGGAGCACUGUCAGGUGAUUGGAGGGUAGGAGAAACCAAUAUAUCUCCCCAUCUCUUUCUGCCUUAGGCACCAUCCCCUGCAGCUGUCUCCCCAGCGGCUCCCUCUCUUGCUGGACAGGCCUACCAUGAAAUCAGCCCUGGGAUCUGACAAUACUACCUCCUCCUGCCACCUACUUAAAAGUGUAAUAGUUUCCUGUGGUUGCUUCUCUGGGGAAGAAUUUCCCCUGGAUUCUUCUCAGUUUUUCCAUCACCUGUGCAACAGAUUCCUUGUAUCACAUUCUUUGUUUGAAGAAAUAAGUGUGGUUUCUGUUUUUCUAGUUGAAUUCAGCAGAUUUAUCCAUUUUGUGUUUUCGUAAGGGUCUUACCCUGCUUAGGGGAGAAGGAAUGAUUUUCACAGGAAAGCAGUCACAUUCAGUUUAGGAAUCUGCCUGUGCUUCCCCCGAUGGCUUUAGUAAUGUCAUUAUUUUUUCCACCUCUUACUCCCCAUGCUUGCUCCUCACCUCCCAUACCCAACCUGUGUCUCUCCUGCUUCCUCCAUUCUUAGAGCAUAUGACACCUAUCUUCUGGGGUCACAUCCCCAGAGGUACACAAUGAUUUGUUUUUGUUUAUUUUUAAAUUUCUUUUCAUAUAGUGUCCUUAACAAGAAUGUCACUGCUGUAGGAUAGGAUAGCAAAAGAGCACUGGGUUUUUCAUUCAGAAUGUGAAUCAGUGUGGCUUGUUUGAAUCCUAUAGCCUUGUCCUGCACAACAGUGCCCUUGAUAGCAGAACAGGAAAAAAGAUAAUUUCACCACAAAUCUAUGAGGAGAAAAUGAGAUGAAACAUAUGAAAGGAUUGUGCAAAAGAUAAAAGGCUAAAAGAAAAUAAAAAGAAAAGGCCAGGUAUGGUGUUUCAUGCCUAUAAUCCCAGCAUUGUGGGAGCCCAAGGCAGGAGGAUCACUUGAGCCCAGGAGUUCAAUAUCAGCCUGGGCAGCAUAGAGAGGUCCUGUCUGUAUUUAAAAAAAAUUUUUUUUAACGAUAAAAUGCUAAGCAAAUAAGAAGUUAUUAUUUUGAAAUAGUAAAUAAGCCUAAAUUAGUUGUUUUCCUUGAAACAAUUGUAAUUUUAAAAGUUACCACAAAGGUAUUUCUCAACUAGAAUUUAUACAGAAGCUUAACAACAUCACAGUCUUGAUUUAACACAUGAUUUCUCAAUCUCAGUUCUAUUGACCUUUGAGGUUGGAUAAUUCUUUGUUGUAGGGAGCUGUCUUGUGCAUUGUAAGAUUUUUGGUGGCAUCUCUACCAGUAGCACCCACCUGUCUAGUUAUAACAAAACAUUUCUCAACAUUGCCAAAUGUCCCCUAGGAAAAAAAAAAAAAGAGACAAAACCGCCCCAAAUUGAAAACCACUGAUUUAACAAAACCUACUUGGAAAGAUGUGCCUUCUUUUUGAUAUAAGUUGUUAAAACAAACAAUAAUUAAAAGAAGUCUGGCUUUUCAUAGAUUAUUUGGGAAAAAUCUUUUAAAAAUGCAGUUCAGUCAUAAAAUAUAACCUUAAAGAUCCAAAAACCCUACAGUGAAAGUCAGUGGUGAUUGUCACAGCAGUAGUGUGUGUUACUAAGUAUUUACGUUGGAGAAGCUAAUCUUCCUGUUAAGUAUUGUGGUCGGACUACCUAACCAAGAUGUCCUUUCUUCUUCAUACAAUUAAUAACAUUGUUAUUUUUACUAGGUGUUAAAAAAAAACACACUAACACUUUAUAUCUGACUACUGUAUGUUGAAAUCCUUUGAUGUCCUUUAAAAGGCAAGGUAACUCAGAUUGAAUAUUAGUAGGAACAUAUAUUUCACUCUUGACUCAUAUAUUCUGGGUUUGUACUUGUAUGGACUACCUUGAGUAGCUGCAGGACUUAGAAUUUUAUGAGCAUCACAGCUAAGUCAUGGUCUGUAGAAUCAUUCAUAUUUCAAUUCCUAAUAUGGUAGUCUUAGCUACCAUUUAAUUUCUAGAGAACUGGAAACCAAAGUAUAACUAUGUAAAGUCUAGAAAUUAUUGUAUUUAAAAUAUUGAUUCCAGGUCUCCAAAUAUGUCUCUUCUAGCUUAUAUCAAUAGGUUUCUAAAACCAGUUUUUCAUCUCCACUGUGUCAGUUAGCUUUCUUCCCAGCUAAAGAAAAUAUUGACCAAAGCAAGUUGCAAAACAGGUGAAACUGGUUGUAGUAAAAGAGUUACUUUUUGCUGGGAAGAUAAAAGAGAUGUAACUACUGUCCUUGACAUGAGUAUAUUGCUAAGCUUUGUGGACAAACAUUCUGAGAUUGGUAAAAUACUUACUGCUUCAGGAAAAUUACACUUAUUUCCUCAUCUAUGAUUUUGCAUUCUCCUAGUUAAUCUUCUUUUGGGGGACAGUGAGCCUCCUUUGAAGGACUUACGGGCAUUAAUAAUAAUAUCACUGUACAAAAAUUAAUAAUAUGUAUUGCUCUUUUAAAGAUACUUUUGUACAAGAUAUUUUAAUAAAACAAUCUUAUUCAGUGCUGCUUAUUGUGGUUGGUGAAAAAUAAAUAAAUAAAAACUAUCUUAUAACUGAGGCGGGUGGUCAGAGUUUUGGAUGCAGACAGUGGGAUUAAGUUCAGUCAGAAAGUUAGGGCACUUUUAUUUGCCGUCAUGCUUUUGAAUUUGAAGGACUUUGGACCAAGCCUGCCUCUCCAGUUCACUGUCAUGUUCUCAGUUCAUCACAUAUUACAUCUGGCCUACGCUUCACAUCUGUCAAGCCUCUGUGCAGACAUUUGGAUCUGUAAACUCUGCCAGGACAAAGCUUGGGCUAGCAUCCCAUACUAUAAAUGACUAUUCCUCAGUGGAAUAUUUUGUUUCCAAAAAAGAAAUCUAUUUGAGGUAUCAGUGCUUGCCCCAUCUGUUUUUUAAGAUCUGAGAAACAACUAUGUAAAUAUACAUAGAAAUGAUUUGAGUCAAAGCUCUCAUUCUCAUCAUAAAUAAGGAAGGAAAGGCACUGACGAUGGGCCAUUUCAGAGUCCUCCCUGCUAUCUCUGAUUUAGAAAAAAUAUAUGAUCAAGGUGGAGUAAUAGAACUAGAUUUACCCUCCUACCUGUAACAACUAAACAACAACAAAAACAGACAAAAGACAUGAAACAAUGGUUUUUAUGACACUAGAUAUCAAGCAAUGGACAUGGUGAUUCUUGAAAUAUAGGAAAUAAAAUGGAUGAGACCUACUAUUGCCCCAGUUUACUAAUUUGAGAGAGUUUUCAGGUCAUGACAUGUGGUAGGAGAACAGAGGUGAAGCCCAGUUAUGAUUCUGAAUUGAGGCAACAUUGCUGAGAGUCCAGGAAGAUCAACGCAGUGAGAUUUCUUAGGAAAGAGUGAUAGAGGAGAGAGAGAGCUACACAGAGUAAAGCCUGGGGGUCUGCAGAGGGAUCUCUGUUAAGUAUUCAGAAGAGUUUUGAUCAUGACUAUGAAGAAACUACAUGAGGCCUAGAAAAGGACCAUCUGGAGGAGGUAGAGAGAACAUGUGGCCAUAACAUACAUAGGACCAGAAGUAGUGUCUGUUCCCACUACCGGCCAGAUUGGAAAAACUCAUAAUUCAUAGACACUGGAUAAAGUACUCAAGAAGGUCUUGCCUCAGUGGUGGGAAAUAAUUAGCCCUAGCCUGAGAACUGCUCUCAACCUGCCAAACAAAUCAUAAAAGCAACAUCUGAAAAGAUCAAACUGUUUCCAAGUAACUUAACAUCAUACCUGAACAAAACUCAAGAAGAUUUAUGAGAGUUCAAAAGUAUCCAGCACCCAACAAAUUCACAAAGUAUGCAUGCAAUCAAAGAUUACCGGGCAUGCAAAGAAAAAGAAAAACAUAUCUCAUAAUGGGGAGAGCAACCAGUCAAUCAAAACAGACCCAAAAUUGGCACAGAUGAUAUAAUUAGCAGAGAGAGACACUAAAACAAUUAUUGUGACUAUGUUCCAAAUGUUCAGAAAGCUAAGUAGAGAUGGAAUAUAUUUUUAAAAGACCCAAAUCUGGUUGGAAUUUCUGGUGGGAAUAUAAAAUGGUGCAGCCACUUUAGAAAAGUCUGGCAGUUCCUCAAAUUGCUAAACAUAUAGUUACUACAUGACAUAGCAAUUCUACUCCUAGGACGUACCCAAGAGAAAUGAAAAUAUUUUCGCACAAAAACUCAUACAUGAAUGCUUAUAGCAGCCUUAUCUUUAACAGCCGAAAGGUAGAAACAACCCAAAUGUCUAUCAUCUGAUAAACAGAUAAAAUAUGGUAUAUCCAUAAAAUAAUUGAAUAUAUUUAGUCAUAGAAAGGAAUAAAGCAUGGACAGACACUGCAACCUUGCAAACUGCUAAGCGAAAGAACCAGACACAAAGGCCCAUGUAUUGUAUGACUUCACUUGCAUGAAAUGUCCAGAGUAGGCAAAUUCAUAGAGACAGAAAGAAGAUAGUGAUUGGCAGGGAUUGGGAGAUUGGAAAGUGACUGCUAAUAAAGGUGAGGUUUCUUUGGGAAGUAUUGAAAAUGUUCUGGAAUUAGAUGGUAGUGAUGGUUGUACAAUCUUUUGAAUACACUGAAUACCACUGAAUUGUAUACUUUACAUGGGUAAAUUUAUGGUAUGUUAAUUAUAUCACAACAAUGAUGGUUAAAAAUAGAUGCAAUCAGAAUCAAUUUAUCUUUCUACUACCAUGUUAGUUGUAUAAACUAUCUUCCAUUUCACUCCUUCUAUUCUGUCCCUAACCCAUCCCAUCUUUCCACUAAUAAGGUUACACAAGGUUACCAAUGACCUGAAUGUAUCUAAUUCAUUGUCAGCCUCUGUUCAGUUUUUCCUAAAUCUCUCAGCAGCAUCAAAAUCUCUCAACAUUGCAUCCUUUUAGUAACAGCAGCAUCUUCUAUAGAUUUCAUGAAAUACACUCACCUAGUUUUCUCUUACCAGACUUUAUAGCUGCAUACUCAUAAUCUUCACUUAAAUGUCCAGUAGGUACCUAAAGCCUAACAUGUAUAUGACAGAAUUCGGAUCUACUUGCUGUAACCACAUCCUACAAAUACGCAUUAGGUAGGCCCAUACCUACUCCUGCCCUAGUCUUUCCCAUGAGAGUUAACACACAAUCAUAUAUCCAGGUGCUCAGGCCAAAAACUAGGGAGUUGUUUACCAUGUUUUAUUGCUCUCUUUCCCUAAUCCUACCACAUCAAAUCCACUGGCAGGUCUUAAUAGUUCUGCCUCCAAAAAUCUAUGUGGAACCUAUCUCCAUUCUCCAGUUAUUUAUUCAGAGGUUAAAGAGGAGACUGGAAUGGUGCCUGAGGGAUUAGAUUCUAUCUGGUCUUGUGAACUGUUACAUGAACAUUCACCUUUAUUCCGAAUAAGAUACAGAGUUUUGACCAAAGUAAUAACAUGAUCUGAUUUAAGUCUUAAAAGGAUCACUCUGACUUCUGUAGUGAAAUUAGACUGUGGGGGAAAAUGAAAAUAGGGAACCCAAUCAGGAGGCUAUUGAAAUUUUAAAGAAGGAUUAUGGUUCGGACUAGAAAGUUGGGGGCAAUGGAGGUGCAAGUGGUGACUGAGUUCUAUUUAUACUUUUAAUAUAAAUAGAGCCAAAAAGAUUUGCUGAUAAAGUAAGGAUGUAGAGUGUGAAAGAGAAAUUAAAUGAUGCCAGGACUUUGGUCUGAGCAAAUGGAAUGAUGAGUAUGCCAUUUCCUAAGUAGAAGAUUAUUGAGUGAGCAUGUUUGGAUAGGAGGAUAUAAAUUUGGUUUUUAAAAUUUCCAGUUGGAACUAUUUAUCAGGUACCAGAUAGAGCUAUCAAAAAGGAUAGUGGAUAUAUAAGUCUGGAAUUUAGAGGUGAGAUCAAACUGGAUAAAUAAAUUCUGGAAUUUUCAUUUUAUAUGUGAUAUUGAAAGCCACAGAAAUUAACAAAAUCAUAAUGUAAGCAGCAUAGAUAGAGAAAAGUUCAUGGGCUUAGCCCUGGGGGCCCUCCAAUAGUUAGAAUCAAAGAGACAAGGCAAAACUAGCAAAGUAGGUUGUGGUAAAGUAGCCAGUGAAGUAGAAUAAAAACCAGUUGAGCAUAUUAUCAUUUUCAGAUAGGCAGAAUUGCAGCAUAUUUGACUGCUAUGAAGAGGGAAAAAUUUGGGACGCAGGUAGAGCAAGAUGAAUUGCUAGAAUUAUAUCCUUCAGUGGGGAGGAAAGUAUAGGAUUAGAACUAGAAGACAUGUUGGUCUGGAUAGGCACAGGGUGUUCAUUUAUAGUAACAGAAAAGAAGGCAGUAGGUGGGCACAGAUGCAGAGAUACAGGUAGGUAUUUGGUAGGAGAUUCUGGAGGUUCUCUUAUGAAGGACAGAUAAGAUCAUUGAAGAAGAGAAGAGAGAAAGUCAAGGAACUGAGAGGCCAUGGAGUUGAAAGGAUCAUCCACGUGAAUAUUACAAUCACCAAGAACUAUUAUAGGAAUAGUGUUUGAUAAAAUGUCAAUCAGCUAAAGGCUAAAUCUUUAAGGAAUAAGGAGGAGUGGUCAAGGGAAAUACAGUGAAUCAUAGCAAUAUGGUGGGAAAAUAUGAUAUUAAAAGCUGGGGUUUUAGGGGAAGAAGAGAAAAUGAUCUGGAAGCAGUAAGGAGCCCCCCACUGGCCUAGUGGUAUGUGGCAUCUGAGAGAAGAUAUUGGCUCUACUUGAGAGGGCUACAGGAAAAGCUGUGUUUCCAGGGGAGAGAGAAAGACACGUGGAAAUAUGGAAAUGCAUGUAUUAAGUUUUUGGCUGUCACAGUAACUAGUGGAAUUCUGUGUCCAAAGAAGAGACAUGCUAAACAUCCUGAAAGGUAAUGGCAAGAUUAUAUGACAUGGACAUAUGCUACCCAAAUGCCAGUAGCACCCCUGUUAGGAAUCUAAAAGUAGAAAGAACAUUCAGAGAAAAGGCUUGGAUUGAUUGUCUUAGUUGAAUUUCUCCAGAAACAAAUCUUGAUUGUAAGUAAUUUAUUCAGAAGUACUGGGAAAACCAGUAAAGGAAGAGGGAAGUGAUCCAGGGAAAAGAAGGCAGUCAUCCAAUGCAGUAUCGAGCCAAGGUACUGCCAUGGGCAACUGGAGUUUAACCUUAUGGGAAGCUCAAAUGAGGAAAUCUGAGAAAGGAGAAAAACACACUCCUCACAGUUAUUUAACCUCAAGAGUGAGGUAGCUGAAGUGAAUACACACCAGCUUCUGAGAGUCAUUGGUAGAAGGCUGCAGAUCUGAUGAACAUGAGCAGAGCACUGACAGCCUCUGUUAUAGGAUGUAGAAUAAAGGUUUAUCUCUAGGAUAAAUUACAAUGAGGAGAAUCUUCUGGGUCUAAGAAUAAGUGCUUGUGUGAUUUUGAUAGAUACCUGCAAAUUGUCCAUCACAGACAGUAUACUAAUUUACAUUCACCCCAGAAAUGUAUGAGAAUAUUUCUUUCUACCCUCCCCAAGUUUAUAUUCUAUUAAGCUCUCUUCUUUUUGCUAAUCUUUAGUAAAUAUACAUUUCAGUGUAAUUUUCAUUUUCAUUUAUCUUAUUAAGAGUGAAAUCGAACAGCUUAACAUAUAUUUAGCAUUUUUUAUUUCCUUUUCUGCAAACUGCCUGUUAACAUUCCUUGUUCAUUUUACUUUCAGUUACCAGUCUUUUUCUUACUGAUCUGUAGAAAAGCAAUAUGAGGUUCAAAUAUUUUCCCAGUCCGUUAUGUCUUUGGAAUUUCUUUUUCUUUUUUCUUUCUUUCUUUCUUUCUUUUUUUUUUUUUUUUUUGAGAUAGAGUCUUGCUCUGUCGCCCAGGCUGGAGUGCAGUGGCAUGUUCUUGGCUCACCACAACCUCUGCCUCCUGGGUUCAAGCGAUUUUCCUGCCUCAGCCUCCUGAGUAGCUGGGAGUACAGGUGUGCACCACCAUGCUCAGCUAAUUUUUGUAUUUUAGUAGAGAUGGGGUUUCACCAUGUUAGCCAGGCUGGUCUCCAACUCUUGACCUCAGGUGAUCUGCCCGCCUCAGCCUCCCAAAGUGCUGGGAUUACAGGUGUGAGCCACUGCGCCCAGCCUGUCUUUAGAAUUUCUUUAUGGAAUUCUGUCCAUUUCUCUUCAUCUCCUCUACUGAUCCAAGCCUCCUUCUCUCAGCUCCCACUUACACUAAACCCUCGCCUCCUAUUAAAUCUCUCCUUCCACUCUGCCACCAAGACACUAUUAUUUUCUAUGUACAAGAUAGGGAGCAAUGUGAAAAAUAUGAAUCAGUUCAUACUACAUCCCUACAAAAAAUACCCCAAGGACUGCUUCCUAGUACACAUAAAUCUAGACCCCAUGUUAUGGCCAUUUUGGCCUGGUAUGAUUCACACCUUGCCUCCUCAUGUCCUACCCCUAAAAUUUCACAUUGUUUACUUUCUUCUUCAUUUAGCAAUCAGCAUGAUAUCACCCUCUGAGAAAAGCCAACCACUGCCUUCUGAGUCAAAAUGGCAUGCACACCACAGUGUGUGAGAUACCAGUGAGGUACCCACAUCUCCAGCUUUCUGAUCUCUUUCUGCCUCUUUGUAUUAUAUUUCUCUUAUUAUUUAGUAUGAUGCCAAGCACAUAAUAGACUCUUAAUACUUUGUCCAAAAGUAUUCCUCAAAAUUAAAGGAUAUUGUCUUACAUUCACAUUCUUGUAAGUCUUUCACAUUUUAGAGCAUUUUCUAAAUUACUUUAUUUUGAACAAAUAUUAUUUGGAGAACACAAACUGAAAUAACCCAAAUCAAUACUAGAUUUAUUUAUUUAUUUAUUUUUCCUUCAACUUUUAAGUUCCACGGUACUUGUGCAGGAUGUGCAGGUUUGUUACACAGGUAAACAUGUGCCAUGAUGGUUUGCUGCACACAUCAACCCAUCACCUAGGUAGUUUUUAUAUAUAUAUAUUUUUAUUACACUUUAAGUUCUAGGGUACAUGUGCACAACCUGCAGUUUUGUUAACGUAUGUAUACAUGUGCCAUGUUGGUGUGCUGCACCCAUUAACUCAUCAUUUACAUUAGGUAUAUCUCCUAAUGCUAUCCCUCCCCACUCCCCCCAUGCCAUGACAGGCCCUGGUGUGUGAUGUUCCCCUUUCUGUGUCCAAGUGUUCUCAUUGUUCAAUUCCCACCUAUGAGUGAGAACAUGCGGUGUUUUUUUGUCCUUGCGAUAGUUUGCUGAGAAUGAUGGUUUCCAGCUUCAUCCAUGUCCCUACAAAGGACAUGAACUCAUCCUUUUUUAUCACUGCAUAGUAUUCCAUGGUGUAUAUGUGCCACAUUUUCUUAAUCCAGUCUAUCAUUGUUAGACAUUUGGGUUGGUUCCAAGUUUUUGCUAUUGUGAAUAGUGCCAUAAUAAACAUACGUGUGCAUGUGUCUUUAUAGCAGCAUGAUUUAUAAUCCUUUGGGUAUAUACCCAGUAAUGGGAUGGCUGGGUCAAAUGGUAUUUCUAGUUCUAGAUCCCUGAGGAAUCGCCACACUGUCUUGCACAAUGGUUGAACUAGUUUACAGUCCCACCAACAGUGUAAAAGUGUUCCUAUUUCUCCACGUCCUCUCCAGCACCUGUUGUUUCCUGACUUUUUAAUGAUCGCCAUUCUAACUGGUGUGAGAUGGUAUCUCAUUGUGGUUUUGAUUUGCAUUUCUCUGAUGGCCAGUGAUGAUGAGCAUUUUUUCAUGUGUCUGUUGGCUGCAUAAAUGUCUUCUUUUGAGAAGUGUUGGUUCAUAUCCUUCAGCCACUUUUUGAUGGGGUUGUUUGUUUUUUUCUUGUAAAUUUGUUUUAGUUCAUUGUAGAUUCUGGAUAUUAGCCCUUUGUCAGAUGAGUAGAUUGCAAACAUUUUCUCCCAUUCUGUAGGUUGCCUGUUCACUCUGAUGGUAGUUUCUUUUGCUGUGCAGAAGCUCUUUAGUUUAAUUAGAUCCCAUUUGUCAAUUUUGGCUUUUGUUGCCAUUGCUUUUGGUGUUUUAGACAUAAAGUCCUUGCCCAUGCCUAUGUCCUGAAUGGUAUUGCCUAGGUUUUCUUAUGGGGUUUUUAUGGUUUUAGGUUUAACAUUUAAGUCUUUAAUCCAUCUUGAAUUAAUUUUUGUAUAAGGUGUAAGGAAGGGAUCUAGUUUCAGCUUUCUACAUAUGGCUAGCCAGUUUUCCCAGCACCAUUUGUUGAAUAGGGAAUCCUUUCCCCAUUUCUUGUUUUUGUCAGGUUUGUCAAAGAUCAGAUAGUUGUAGAUGUGUGGUAUUAUUUCUGAGGGCUCUGUUCUGUUCCAUUGGUCUAUAUCUGUGUUUUGUUACCAGUACCAUGCUGUUUUGGUUACUGUAGCCUUGUAAUAUAGUUUGAAGUCAGGUAGCGUGAUGCCUCCAGCUUUGUUCUUUUGGCUUAGGAUUGACUUGGCAAUGCAGGCUCUUUUUUGGUUCCAAAUGAACUUUAAAGUAGUUUUUUCCAAUUCUGCAUCACCUAGGUAUUAAGCUCAGUGUUCAUUAGCUGGUCUUCCUGAUGGCCUCACUCCCCCUACCUCCCCACAUGAAAGGCCCCAGUUUUUGUUGUUCCCCUCCCUGUGUCCAUGUGUUCUCAUUGUUUAGCUCCCACUUAUAAGUGAGAGCAUCUAGUGUUUGGUUUUCUGUUUCUGUGUUAGUUUGCUGAAGAUAAUGGAUUCCAGCUCCCUCCAUAUCCUUGCAAAGGAAAUGAUCUCAUUCCUUUGUAUGGCUGCAUACUAUUCCAUGGUAUAUAUUUUCUUUAUCCAGUCUAUCACUGAUGGGCAUUUGGGUUGAUUCCAUGUCUUUGCUAUUGUGAAUAGUGCUGCAAUGAACAUGCAGGUGCAUAUAUCUUUAUAAUAGAGUGGUUUAUUUAUUUAUUUAUUUUUUGAGACUGAGCCUUGCUCUGUCACCCCAGGCUGGAGUGCAGUGGUGCGAUCUCGACUCACUGCAGCCCCUGCCAUCCAGGUUCAAGUGAUUCUUAUGCCUAAGCCUCCUGAGUAGCUGGGACUAAAGGCACAUGACAUCACACCUGUCUAAUUUUUGUAUUUUUAGUAGAGAUAGGGUUUCACUCGUUGGUCAGGCUGGUCUCAAACUCCUGACCUCUAGUGAUCCGCCCACCUCAGCCUCCCAAAGUGCUGGGAUUACAGGCAUGAGUCGCUGCACCCGGACUGUAAUAGAAUGAUUUAUAUUCCUUUGGGUAUAUACCCAGUAAUGAGAUUGUUGGAUUAAAUGGUAUUUCUGCCUCUAGAUCUUUGAGAAAUCACAACACUAUCUUCCACAAUUGAACUAAUUUCAAUUGAACUAAUUUACUAAUUUGUUGAACUAAUUUACACUCCCACUAACAGUGUAAAAGUGUUCCUUUUUCUCUGCAUCCUCACCAGCAUCUGUUGUUUCUGGACUUUUUAAUAAUCGCCAUUCUGACUAGUGUGAGAUGGUAUCACUUUAAAUCCCUAUCAAGGUCACUGGUUUUAAAUGCUUAUAGAACUGGUUUAAAGGGAGGGAAAAUAAGGCAUGAUAAUGUAAAAGAUUCAGUUUUUCUGGGAGGAUUUUACAAUUGCAAGAAUACCAUGUAAACACGCUUUUCAAAUAUCACUUAGAAAGCAAUGUGACAAGUAUAAAUAUUGUGAAGAUACAAUGAAUGAAAACAAAUGAAGUGAGAGACAAACCUACCCUGCAAAAUACAAAAUAGGAGAAAAUAUUUGCAAACCAUAUGUCUGUAUAAAGAAUUAGUAUCCAAAAUAUAUAAAGAACCCUUACAGCUCCAUACCAAAAAAUCCUCCAAAAGCCCGACAACAAAUAAUCUGGUUAAAAAUUGGCAAAGGAUCACAAUAGAUAUUUCUCCGAAGAAGACAUGCAAAUGCCCAACACUUAUAUCAAAAGUGCUCAACAUCACUAAUCAUCAGGGAAAAACAAAUCAAAACCACAGUGAGAUAUUUCCUCAUACAUAUUAGGAGGAGUAUUAAUAAUAAAAAAAGUUAAGAAGUAUUGGCCAGGAUGUGGAAAAAAAAGGAGCACUUGUAUACUGUUGGUGAGAAUGUAAACUGGUGCAGCUGCUAUGGAAAACAAUAAGAAGAUUCCUCAAAAAAUUAUAAAUAACCCCACCAUAUGAUCCAAUAAACCUACUUCUUGGUAUUUAUACAAAGGAAUUAAUGUUAGGAUCUUGAAGAGAUAUCUGUAUUACUAGGUUCACGACAAUAGCCAAGAAAUGGAAACAACCUAAAUGUCUGUUGAUGGAUGUAUAGAUAAAGAAAAUGUGGUAUAUACAUACAAUGAAAUAUUAUUCAGCCUUAAAAAUGUAAGAAAUCCUGCCAUUUGCAACACCAUGGAUGAACCCAGAAGAUAUUAUUCUAAGUGAAAUAAACCAGACACAGAAAGACAAAUACUGCAUUAUCUCGAUUAUAUGAUGAAUCUAAAAUAGUCAAAUUCAUAGAAGCAGAGAGUGGAAUGAUGGUUGGCAGGGGCUGGGGGGAGGUAUUAAUGGGGAAGUAUUAGUCAGAGUGUACAAAGUAUCAAUUAUACAAGAUGAAUAAAUUCUAGAGAUCUACUGUACAGUAUAAUGCGUAUAGUUAACAAUACUGUAAUGUAUAAGGUAGACUUUUUGUUACAUAUUCUUAUCAUACACACAUACAAUAAUAAUAAGGGCAGGAGAAAACUUUGGAGGUGAUGUGUAGAUUUAUGGCAUAGAUUAUGGUGAUGGUUUCAUGGGUGUAUGCCUACUUCCAAACCCAUCAUGUUGUGUACAUUUAAUAUUUAUGACCUUUAAUAUAUCAAUCAUACUUCAAUAAAGUGGUUUAACAAAAAAAUUACACACAAAAAAAAUUUAGUAAGCAUUGACAUGAACUUAUUUGUUAUUCUAGAAACAAUUUCAAUGUGCAAAUAUAUAUAGGCAUCAUCCUCCCUAAAACACAAAAACAGAAAACAAAAAAAUAUAUAUCCUAACAUUAUAUCAAUAGAUGCUUGUGGCUUAGAACAAAAUUUAGAAUUGAUAGCAUCAUAUACCAUUUAAAUGAUUCUUUAAAAAAAAUUUUGACAAAACUAAAAAUGAUAUGCUCUGAAACCCACUGGAAGAUGAUAAAUGCAGCAUCAAUUUUUUGAGUCUUUGGAUGAAGGACUUUAGCCUGAAGAGUCACCUUGUCCUACAACAGACUUAUAGUAAACAAGUUACAAAAUUUUGUUUUAUUAAUCUACUAAUAUAUGUUUUUCAACCAAAGUAUAACCUACCCUAUACUGACAAAUACAACUGUCUACAGUAUUUCCUUGAAUUAACCUAGCCAUCUGAACAUAAAUUCAUACGGUUUUUACCUUUGUAAUGUCCCUUACUUUCUUUUAGGAACAAACCAGUAUAUAAAAUAACACUUAUAUGAAUAAAUCAGUCUAGACAUGCUCUCCAGAAAUAUUCUUACCUACAAGUGUAAAAUUUAAAAGACUACCACUUUUGAAAAAUAAAAAUAUUUCUAAGUAUCAUCAAUCAUAUCAUGUUUAUAUUAAUUUGCCUUUAAAUAUUGUUACCACAGUGUUUGAAAAAUCAAUUUGUAGAUCUUGUUAUAAAAUAUCUGCAUUUUUACAAGCAAUAUAAAAACCAAAAAAAUUUUAUUCUAAAAUAAGAUAGGAAUAUGUAUGGUCACAUGCACUUGGAAUUAGAAAUGAUAAUUUACCAGAUAGAGGUCUUUGUCUACACUGUUAAUGUAAAAAAUCAAACCUCUAGUUUCAUAAAAUGUAUGUUAAAAAUAUUUCACAGAAAUAUAUGCUUCAAUAACUUUAAUAACAUUUUAUAACAAGAUGUAUUUUGUUUGUUUGUUUGAAAUGGAGUCUCGCUGCGAUGCCCAGACUAGGGUGCGGUGAUGUGAUCUUGGCUCACUGCAACCUCCGCUUCCCAGGUUCAAGCAAUUCUUGUGCCUCAGCCUCCCGAGUAGCUGGGACUACAGGUCCCCGCCACCAUGCCCAGCUACUUUUUGUAUUUUUAGUAGAGACGGAGUUUCACCAUAUUGGCCGGGCUGGUCUUGAACUCCUGACCUCAAGUGAUCCACCUGCCUUGGCUUCCCAAAGUAUUGGGAUUACAGGCGUGAGCCACUGGGCCCAGCCUAUAACAAGAUGUAUUUUUGAUAGUAAACUGUAUUUUCUAUAUCCCCACUUUUUCCAUUGGAAAUAAGGAUUUCUCAAAGGCUGGCUUGAGUCACCACCCAACCAUCUUCAGACUAUCUGCAGAAACACCACUUCUCACUUCUUAGUGCAUACCAUGUGGUAAUCUGCUACCUCGGAAAACCAGGGUUUUGGCUUAGCUAUGUUUGGUGGAGAAUGAUGGCUUUCUCUGGAAUAAGGGUAGCAUAGUGUAAAGCCCAUUAUUCCAAUUUGGAAAUAUCCCAUUUUAGGUUUCCUAUAUCCUUCUUUAUCAGGUCUUCUAGUCUUAUCCACCAAGGGGCACAGGGAACACAUGCAAAUUUUUUUACCACACUUCACCAGCAUGUGCUACCAUAUCUUUCUGUAUAGUGAUUUCAUUUUUUUUUUGUUUCUUUGAUUACAGUCUUGACUUGAAUUUUAUCCCCAACCAGAAUAUAUUCACUGUGAUAUGAAGGAAUUGUAUAAUUAUAAGCAUUGGUAUGAGAAUAUUACAAAUUAUAAACAAUGACUCUCCUAUUAUUUACUGCUUUACUAAGAGGAAAAAUGUGCAUUAUUACCCACACUUACUCUACAAGACCUAUUUAAAUUUUAAUAUUAAAGUUGUUUUUGAGAAGACACUCUUUAAUCACCUUCAUCUAGCUUGGAAAUUUCACAAAACUCAAUUACUGAGUUAAUGUCUAUGGCCUGGUUUAUAAUAACACAGCUUAAAUCAGCCACAGAUCUAGAAGAGAAGCAGCAUGGUGUGGUAGAUCAAGGCUCUCCCCAUGAGGUAAACAUGUCCUGGAUUCUCUACCCUCUUAUUUGCUGUGAGACCUGAGCGUAGCAUUGAACUCCAUAAAAUGAAGGCAUGUGUCUACUUAUCUUUUAUUGGUUAGAAUAUAGGGGAUAGGGCAAGAUAAUCUUUUCAGACCUCUUAUAGCACUAAAACCAUUGGCUGUUAUAUUAGGGUUAAAUUAAAAGUUAAAAGUUACAGAAAUUACUUGACUCUUUGUAGGAGAUCUAUUUAUCUAGAAAUGAUGUGCCUGUCUAUCCCCAAACCAUUAACUAGAUAGAAAAAGUUACCUAUCCUCUUAAAAAAAAAGUAUCCCAACUACUAAAGGAUAUUUUAAUUUUAAUUUUUGUUGUUAAAUAGUAGAACUCUGAGAAAUGAAAUAAAGAAAAGCCACUGAAUGAAUAUUCUGUGAAUCAGGACAGCCUUUAUAAGGGGUGACUUCAUAAUUUUUCCCUUGAAAGUAUAUCAGAGGGACAGAUGAAGAUGUAUUCCAAGUUUUCCAGGUCCAGGUUUGCUGUAUCUGUGGACUGAGGGGAAAGUAAUUGGAUUGGGUUGCUGAAUAAAGCUCUUUUGGUAGGCCAAGGCAUUUUUCCAUCCACUUUAAGUCUUCUCUUACCAAAGAAAGUAGAAUGACAGCCCAUUCAGACUUGGAAAAGUGCUGAUUGAUACCCUGCCAUUCAACAUCCUACCACCAACACUCUGUGGGAUCAGUUGGGAUGAAGCAGGAAAAAACAAAACAACAAAAACACCUUCAGCCACUUCAUUAAAGAUGUAUCUGUUUAAAAUCUCUUUUUGACUGGUUGCUUUUCUUGAUGACUUCUUCAGACAUCUGUUUUUGUUUGUUUGUUUUUUUGAGACAGAGUCUCGCUCUGUCACCCAGGCUGGAGUGCAGUGGUGCGAUCUCGGUUCACUGCAACCCCAGCCUCUUGGGUUCAAGUGAUUCUCCUGCAUCAGCCUCCACAGUAGCUGGGAUUACAGGCUUGCGCCACCAUGCCCGGCUAAAUUCUGUAUUUUUAAUAGAGACGGGGUUUCGCCAUGUUGGCCCGGCUGGUCUUGAACUCUUGAUCUCAGGUGAUCCACCUGCCUUGGCCUCCCAAAGUGCUGGGAUUACAGGCGUGAGCCACCGCACCCGGCCUAAGACAUCUGCUUUUAUUUCUCAAGUUUUUUCAAAGGCUAAUGAGAUUUUUUUUUCACACUCUACUGGAGAAAUAAAGUAUAGAUGUAUAGAUUAUUUAUAUCCUUGCUUUGAUCAUCAUUUCCAUGAUUGUCCAGUAGGCUUCAUGAACUAUUACUGAGAUCAAAACAUAACACUUCCUGUUACCACACUGAACAAAUAUCUGUCUGAGUAAAUGUGCAGGAGUUUAUUUUCAUUCACCUGCUUAGAAAUGUAUAGCAUAGGACUCCCAUAACCCUAUUCAUUAAAAACUCUGAUUCCUUACUGACAAGGGUUCCUUGGACACAGCAUAUAUAAUAGCUUUGAAAUAGGACUCGCAUCGCUUCUUUUUAUGUAGUUAGAGAUAUGUGCCUGUUGUCCUUAAUGAACUUAUUUUCUUUACUUUUGUAUUCUCCAGGUCUAUCCAGCUGAAGUCAAAAAUGCCCCUCUCAGGCUGCCCCCAGUGACUCCAGUUUCCUAGCAGAGCCUAACCAGGUCAGGUAGUAAAAGCAGUUUUCUUAGCACCACCUAUAGACAGUCUAGAAGUAUUAUUCCUGAUUUGUAAUUGGUAUGGUCCUGCCAAGCUCCUGGAGCAUGUAAACCUUCUGUUGCAGGGUUUUUGUUUCUCCCCUGUUACCCACCAUAUUAAUUCAGAUCAUGAAUCUGCUACGCUUUCCUUGCUGGGCUUGAGAUACUCCUCAAGCUGCAAUUCGCUUGGCUGUGACUCCAACUCCCUAUGUGGCUUGUAUCAAGCCUCUCUCCUGUGGAUCCUGGCUCCUGGCAAGAAGCUUGCUGUGACAAGAGUUAUAAUCAACAUCAGAUGGAUUUCUGAUGCUUUCCCUACCUGACUGAUGGGGACCCUUAGUUACUCAGCAUUGGGCUUCCAUAUCUUUUGAUUUUUGGGCAUUGGAAUUCCUGGCUAGUCCCCCAGAAGCUAGCUGUUCAAGAUUGGCAGGUCUUAUGUUCUUCAAAGUCUCAGCUUCUGCUCCUUUCUUAUUGAUACAAAUUGCGAAGGUACCAGGAUGCCUCAUGUCUCAGUCUGCCUAAUUUGUAAUACUAUAGUGCUUAUCCAUAUAUACACAUAUAAAUGCAUUUGUUUUUAUUACUGUAAGACAAAAUACACUAAAGAAUAAGGCAUUGUAUCUCCAAUUCUUUCAUUAGAAUCCUCAGAUCAUGAUGUACAAGAAAUAUCUUUAAAGCCCUGAAGCCACUGCUUGUUUGAUCCUUGAGAGCCAUAACUACUAUCUAUAACUUGUUCAUGCACUUCUGCAUCUAUGACUCACCUAAAUGAAAUUUCAUAAACCUACCUGAGGUCUAAUAGAAUGCACUGCUCUUAAUUCCUUGCUUAAUUUCAUUACUUGAUGGUUUCUGGACUACCCAGAACUUCAGAAGGCAUUCCUUUCCCUAACAAUCUAAUUUACAUCUAAAGUUGCAUUAAAUUUAGUCUUUGACUAAGUUGAGCCAAAAACAUGAUGCUGAUAUCUAAAUAACAUGAUUUUACUUUAUAGACUCUGAUAGUUGAGAGAUAUCAAAGUUGUCACUCUGGUACGAAAGUUUUAUUCUCCACAGCACAACCUGAAUAGUUCUGAAUUUCUUUCUAUCAACUAAACACAUUUUUCUAUCAACACAUGUUUUAAUUCCCCUUUGCCUCCUGGAAACCUUUUCCUUCCUGGCAUAUUUCCAUGAUCAUUUUUUAAAUGCUAUUCAGAAACCUUCAUUUUCUCUAAUACAAGAAACCAUGGUGAAGCGUUCAUUGCUCAGACUUUCUUUACCUUGGGCUUUUGUAAUGGAGAGUAGAUUCUUCUUUGGAAUGUGAAGUUUAUAUUAAUAGUAAUCUCAGGCAAAAGCAUAAUUAUGGCACAUGCAAGGCUCCAGAACAGUCUCAUUGAUGUCCCUGCUUCCUGGGCUUACAGUGAACUCCAGACAGACUUCUGUGGUUCCACCAAUGAACUGCUGGGCAACUUUUGUCUUAGUCACUAAGAAUUACUGUCAAUAAUGUUUUAAAUUCUUUCUGACUUUUGUCUUCCUCUCAAGCUACUAACUUCCACUAAUCUGACACGUGUGAGUAAACUUCACUUUGCAAGUAUCUGUUCCUGUUUACCUUGUGGACGUUAGACAGCCUAUUGAAUACGGUUCACAAGUGUUGUCCCAGGGAUUUUUAGUCAGUUACCAUCAUCGGGGGAUUCCCUUUAUCACUCCUUUAAAUUUAAUCCUCUGUUUGCUUGACACUAGUCUUCCUCUUUCUUUAUUUACUUCUUUUUGAUGAAGACUUUGCCUUUGUCAGGCAACUAAUGGAGAAGUUCAGUCAGAGUUCAACCAGAGAAACAGAACUAAUAGGCAAUAUACACUAAGGAUUUUUUUUUUUUUUUUUGAGUCAGGGUCUCACUCUGUCACCCAGGCUGCAGUUGUGGGAGCUGGUUAGACAAGUCCAAAAUGUAUCAAGCUGAAGCUGAUAGGUAGAAUUUCUUCUUCCAGGAAACCAUUCUGCUGUAAAGCUUUUCAACUGAUUGAAUUAGGGCCACUCAGAUGAUAUAGGAUUAUCUCUUUUACUUAAAGUCAACUGACUGUAGAUGUCUAUUUUAUCUAUUCUUUCUUUCUUGAAAUCUGAAAGAUUGUCUCCUGUCUGUAAGAAAGCUUGAGAUCUGGAAUAUUGUCUUAGCAGGCUGUAAGCUUGGUGAACCACCCUUAUUUAUUGAUAGAAUUUACCUCAGGUGACCUAGAUAUAGUCUCUCUUCUUCUUGGAUAGUACAAAUUUUUAUAAAUCUUUAGUUUUGAUACCACCUUUUCUAGCUUCGGUUUGAAUUACUGGGCUUCUAUAAACACAUCCCAUCCUUUCUACAGAUGGAUUUGAUUGAUUGUUAUAUUUUUUAUUUACAUUUGAUUAUUUGACUGGAUUUUGAUCUCCUCAGGAAAAAGAAAAUGUCUCCUCAGGAAAAAGAAAAUAUCUCUUGAAUAUGAAACUUCUACAGUUGGUGACUUUCAACUUCUGUAUUUUAAUUCUCAGUGGUUUCAUUCUCAUAUUUUGGCCUUUUUAUGAUCUGGCCUAAGCUUCUGAGAGUUUAUAAUUGUAGCCAUCCAGAUAACAUAAGCUACAUGUAAAUUUGAACUUCUAGUAUGGAGAUUCUAAGAAUCUGGACAUUCUGUUCUUUAAUCACUGGAAAGCAACUUAAAAGUUUAGCAUCCAAUUUCCUGCUACUAUGACAAAUUCCACACUAAACAUCAUGGGAAAAAUACAUUCCAGCUUCAUCCACAUUAGCAAUGAAUUUCAAUUCAUAACCUUACACAGUUGUCUUUAGAAGUACUAGCAUUCCCUUCCCACGUUCUUAUCUAUAGCUACAGCCUCCAACCCAUUUCCUGAGACAUAUGGUUCUGUAUUUCUUGGAAGGUUCGCAGCAAUUCAUUACUACAUUCAAAAUCCCCUGAGUCCAGCUACAAUGCAGGGUAAUUACUCCAACGUGGAGAAGAGUCAAACUGCAUGUGAACGUGCUUCUCCAAUAAUUAUAACCCAUAUCUUCAAAAGAGUGACAAGCAUUUUUGCUUAGCUUUUAGAAUCAUAAGGUGGAAGCUCAGUUAAGUACUUUGCAUAAUGCUAUUUUGGACAGUAAUCAUUGGGAGUACAUAGGCUUUAUUCAGUAUUGAACCAUUGGUAAGCAUUUAAAAAUAUUUGUACACACACACACACACACACACACACACACACACACACAAACAGGACUUGACAAUAUCACUGCCCCUGCUCAGUAGUAGCUUUGUCAACAAACAAGUAGAGUCACUGAAGUGAAAUAUUCACUGUCAAUUAGCAGCUGGGUCAAUGUUACUAAUUGUCAAACUAUUUUUUUUGCUAUAAAACACAUUUACACACAAUCUUGUGUAGAAACCCACUAUAUAAAACAGACAAGGGCCAGGUGCAGUGUCUCUUGCCCAUAAUCCCAGCACUUUGGGAGGCUGAGGCAGGAGGAUUGCUUGAAACUAGAUGUUUGAGACUAGCCUGGGCAACAUAGGGAGACCCCACGUCUAAAAUCAUACAAAAAUUAGCUGAGUGUGGUGGCACAUGCCUGUAGUCCCAGCUACUCAGGAGGCUGAGGCAGGACGAUUACUUGAUCCCAGGAGGUCGAGGCUGCAGUGAGCUGUGAUGGAGCCACUGCACUCCAGUCUAGAUGACAGAGUGAGACCCUGUCUCAAUAAAUAAAUAAAAAGAAAAAGGAUUAGGACAGAGUUGCUCAGCUUGAAGGAUAUGGGAUGCGCAGACUGACAUGAGUUUAGCUGCCUCCUCAUAUCACAGUGGUCAGUGAAGUACAUCUAGAGAAUCCCAGAGCUCUGCAGAGUAUACUAGGAAACCACAAAUUUAUGUUAUUUACAAGAACAUUUUGGUUAUUCACUUAGCACAAUGGCUAUUUUCGCCAUAUAAAAUUGUCAAAAGACAAAAUUACAACAAAUUUAGUUAUAGAUAGAAUUGGUUUUUAUCUGUGGCUCAUGAAUUGGGGCAGCUUCUAUUCUUCAAGAUAGAGUAAAGCUCCCACUGGGCAAUGGCAGAACAGUGGGUUUUGUAAAGGGGGGACAAGGAAAAGAGCAAUGUAAAAAUAACUGAGGCUGGGCACGGUGGUUCACACCUGUAAUCCUAACACUUUGGGAGGCUGAGGUGGGCGGAUCAGGAGGCCAGGAGUUCGAGAGCAGCCUGGCCAACAUGGUGAAAUCCCAUCUCUACUAAUAAUACAAAAAUUAGCCAGGUGUGGUGGUGUGCGCGUAUAGUCCCAGCUACUCAGGAGGCUGAGGCAAGAGAAUCGCUUGAACCUGGGAGGCGGAGGUUGCAGUGAGCCAAGAUCACACCACUGCACUCCAGCCUGGGUGACAGUGCAAGACUCCAUCUGAAAAAUAAAAAAAAAUUAGAAUAAAAUAAAAUAAAAUAAAAUAAAUAAAAUAAAAAUCUGAGUGGGGCUGGGCCCAGUGGCUCAUGCCUAUAAUUUCAGCACUUUGGGAGGAUGAGGCAAGAGAAUUGCUUGAUGUCCAGAGUUUGAGAGCAGCCUGGGUAACAAAGUGAGACCUCAUCUCUACAAAAAACAAAAUAAAAAAUUGGCUGGGCGUGGUAGUGUGUGCCUGUAGUUAGUCCCAGCUACUCAGGAGGGUGAGGGGAGAGGAUCUCUUGAACCUAGUAUUUCUAUGCUGCAAUGACCCAUUAUUGCACCUCUGCACCCCAGCUUGGGUGACAGAGUGAGACCCCACAUAAAAAAAAGAAUAAAAAUAACUGAUUAUUUAAUAUCAGGUUACUUUUUUGUGCAGGUUCAAAGAGAGAGGACUUCCUUAUUACUCUGACUCAGGUAGACUGGAGUCUCCUAUUUUCAGGAAAAGUUGGUCCAUUUGGGAUCUAUUUGAUUUCUUAAAGCUUUAGUUUGAUUAUGUGCCAUUUAGCAUGAGUGACCCUGUUUUGGUUUGGUCCAAUUUGUUAGGGACUAGUGCAGGAAUUCCAUCCUAAAACAAUGGCCUCCUGUAAUUUUUGUUUCACAAAACAUAGCCAGUAAGUACCAGUUAGUGGCUAGUUUUUGAGGAAUUUAUUGUGCAUAGCAUUAAAAUAAGCAUCGAGGGGAAGAAAUUGCUAUGAAAAAAUAAAAUCUUGGAGCCUGGAGACAAUCUGAAAUGAAAACAAAAGAAGGAGUCUAUUGUGAAAAAAAACCUAAAACAUAAAUGAAUGUAAUCACAGGAAGACGUUAAACUGCACUAAAUAGAGCACAACUGAUCUUGUUUGAUCUGGGAAACUAAGUAGAGCUGAUCUUGUUAUGUUGACAGCAAAUGCCUAGGGUUACCAUGAGCUAUCUAGAUACCAGAUAGUUUCAGGGCAAAGAUGUUCUCGGGUUUAGCAGGAAUCUAUUCAAUAUAAUGCUUCACUCACCAGCACUUUGGCAUAGUUGUUUUGCUUUUGUGAGCAUCAAUAAAACAGACAAACCAUGAUCCUAAAAUACUUGAUGAGUCACCAGGAGAAGAUUAUACUACAUUCAGCACAAGUACCCAUAUAUUAUUAUAAUAUGAUUUAAUAUAAUAUGAUGUAAUAGAAUAUCAUGUAUUAUUAUUGUUCGAAACCUGUUGAAAAUGUUAUAUGGUAUGUCAAAAGCAUAUCUUUCCAGAAGCCAGAAUAUUGUAGAGCUGGGAUAUUGCAUUCCCUGACUGUAUCAUAUAAGAGAAGUUUCUCUGUAUAAGUACUAAAGAGUAGCUAAAGUCAUUGAAGAGACCAGAAUCAAGGACAUGAAACAAAAAGGUUUUGAGAACUUUAAAUGUAGUAAGAAGAUUUGGCAGAGAAACUUAGAAGAGGGCAUUUCUGUUAAAGAAUCUCCUCAUACUUACGUAGCUUAAAUUCACUUUGCUUGUUUUUCAAUUGGUGUAUUUAUAAGGCACUUGUCUUCCAAAAGUAGAUUUGUAUUUCGAUGAUAAUGGCAAUAGUGCUUUCUUUGUAGAACCUAUCUGUGUGAUCUUGGCCAAAUCAGACUGGGUGAAACAUAGAGCACACAUUUGCUUCUUCUGAAUGGUGCUUCAUCUCAGUGGCUGAGCCACGUGGAUGGCAUUCAGAAAUAACAGUUGUGCUUCCACACAGCGGUGAGCCAAUCCCCAGUGAUUCUAAAGGCUGAAUGUUCUGGUUCUGCAACCAAAUGAAUACAAUUAUAGAUACUUAGCCGACCCUGACUAGGUUUCAUUCUUUCAUUAAUUAACACAUGUAUUAUAGGCACUUAUUUGGGCACUGCAGAGCUGCUGUAGAUUAUCUAAAGUUUAAUUCAAUAUGGCUUUCCCCCUUAGAAUCUUGUUAUGAUUAUUCUUAUAUCUUCCCUUCUGCCCAUCUCUGAAAAUUUCUCACUUCCCCUCUUGGAACACCAUACUAUGAUUAAAUUCACUUCCAGGGACUGGCCAUGGCUUAGAAAAAUGAUUCUCUUACUUGCCAGGAUCCCUGUACAGACGCUGCCGAGUCAAAUUUAGUGCCAAAGGGAAUGUGUGCUUUAUUUGAUCAGCGCUGAUUUCUGAGCUGGGCCCUGGAAAAAGAAAACAUGGAUUUUGUCAGUAUCUGUGGACCCAGAAAAAGGUAUCCUUAUUGCAAUCUGUCCUGAUUACAGCUGUGCUGGUACCAAGUGUGGCACUCAGAAUAUCCAGUAUGCUCUCAUGUCAACCAAACUUAAUUUCUGUAUGCAGCAAAUGCUAGGGCCUGUUAAAUGGAUGAAAUGUACAGCUUGUAAAAUAUCUGCUUCUUAAGUUGGAAGUGACUUUGUCUUUGAUAACUUUACCUCUCCAAAGAAAAUCUUCUACCACCCACUCAAAAUGUCAGGUUCCUCCUGGUCUCCAUAAUGAUCCAUAAAUAUCUACCCUGAACUCAUGAUGAUGAUUGGAUUCAACAUUAUAAUUGCAUAUGCCUGACUUUUCCACUCUGUCAACAGCCUCUUUUCUGGAGUAUCUCCCAGUGAUCAUGUCAUAUCCUGUUAGGUAAAUUGUGAACCUGUAGGAUUGUAUCUCCUAGUUUUAUGAGUGAAGAUCACAUUUAAUUCUCUGUCAUUUUCAGAACAUAACACAUCGUUAGUGCUUUAAAAGGAUGAAACAUGCAGGGCAUUUGUAAACUUUAAAAGUACUUUUUUAUCUGUUAUUUUAUGCAAUCCCUACAAUUAUCCUUUGAGGGCUGGCAAAUCCCGGUUUGACAAAUGAGAAAACUGAGGCAUAAAGGCUAAGUGACUUCUCUGAAGUCACACAGUGACAGAACCAGAUUUAGGAUCCAGUUCCCUUGACUCCUAGACUCAGACUUUUUUUUUUGUUAAAUAUUGUCUAGUCAUAUUACUACUCUCUGAAAGCUAUUCCCACCAGAAGUCUCAUUUUAAUUAGAUAUUUCAUACCUUUAAACUCUGUAGUGUGGCUAGCAUUUACAAAAUCAUGCUGAGUAGAGGCAGUGAACAAGGCUUGGGUUGCCCAAAGCAGAAAAAAGAUAUAAAGAUGAAACCACCAGACAGAUUUUAUUUAUGACUAUUUUAGAGAGGGUAGUGCAACCUCUGAUUCUCCUUAACACCAAGUUCUGUUGAAACUCAGUCUUUAUCACAGGAACCACUGGGUGCCUUUCUCAUGGCCACAGCAGCUUGGCUUACAACCGUCUUCAAACAGCCAGGCUGUGCCCCAGAACUUCACUGGGCUUCCUUCCAUAACUAUGGAUCUGUGAGCAUCACUUUAAUUUCAGAGUGUGGAAGACACCUUAAUAAGAAUCAUGAAUCACAUUUUACAAAUCAGGAUACACAGGAUGUAAGGUUAAGUGACCUGUCCUAUCAGGGCCACAAAGCCAGUUAAACUUCUUUAUUAACUGAGUCACUUAAAAAUCAUUUAUUUAAAAACCUAUUUUGUUCCAGGAACUAUUCUGGGUACUGGAAAUAAAACAGUGGAGACAGAGAGAGGGGAAAUAAAAAACAAGACAAAAAUGAUUGCUUUGGUGGAGUUUAUAUAUUCCACUGGAAGAAGGUAGAUAAUAAAUAAAAGUGAAAAAGUACAUUAUAAGGUGGGAGGAAGGCUUGAGCCUAGGAGGUUGAGGUUGCAGUGGGCCGAGAUUGUGCCACUGCACUCUAGACUGGGCAACAGGGCAAGACGUUGUCUCAAAAAAAAAAAAAAAAAAAGAAAAGUAAAUUAUAGAGUAUCUUAAAAGGUGACAUUACAUGAAAGAAAAACAAAGCAGAAAAAAGGGUAAGUAGUUCUGGGCACUAAGUACAUUUUAAACAGGGUAGUCGGGGUUAUUGACUGAGAAAGUGAUAUUUUUUGGCAAUAACUUAAAAUGGCAAAGAAGUAAGCAAUGAGAAUAUCUGAGGAAAGCCUGUGCAAAGCCCCUAAGGCAGGAACAUGAUGACAUCAUUGGGAGACCAGAGCUAGGAGUACUGGGGCAGCAUGAGCCAGAUGCAUAAUAGUUUGAUAUGAAAUCUUAGAGGUCAUGAAGAGCCAGAUUUAUGUAGGGUCUUGUAGGCCAUAGUAAAGAUUUUGGUUUUUAACCUGAGUGAGUGAGAUGAGGAAACACUGAAGAAUUUUGAGUAAUGGAAUGAUAUCUUUGAGCUUAGUUUUAAAUGGAUUAUUCUGGGUUUUGUGGUAAAGAAUGGAUUAGAGCGAGGACAGCAUAGAACUAGGGAAACCAGUUAGAGAUCUAUCACAAUAGAUUUAGUCAAGAGAAGAUGGUGGCUCAGAUCAAGUGGUAGAGGUUGAAAUGGUGAGAAGAAGUCAGAUUCUAGAUGUAUUUUGAAGAAGGAGCCAAGAAGAUGUGUUGAAAAAUCAAAUUUGGGGUGAAAAAAGAAAAGGAGAAAUUAAAGAUGACUUGAAGUUUAUAGCCUGAGCAAUUGAAAAGAUAUAUUUGCAGUUAACUAAGAUGGCAUAGCCUUCAAAAGGACCAGGUUUGGAAAGUGAUGAACCAUUCAGUUUUAGAAAUAUUUAGUUUGAGAUGUGUAUUGGAUAUCCAAGCAGUAAUGUCAAAUAAGCAAUUGGGUAUGAAUUUAGAGUUCAGGUAAGAGAAUUGAACUAGAGAAUUUAGCUGUUAGCAGAGUAUAGAUGAUAUUGAAAGCCAUGAGAAUACCAGAGGAUUGAAUGUAGAUAGAGAAAAGAAGAGCCAUCUAAGGAUUAAACCCUGAGAUACAUUUGGUAUGUUAGUCUAGAACUCAAUCAUAGGUUCUUAACAAACUGCGCUCUGGAGUAUUGGUUUAAGGCUUAUAGAAUUGGAUUAACCCUACUUUGUGCUACUAAAGACAAAAUUUCAUAAAAGCCUCUCAAGAAUCCAAAGUUUAUUAUAAACCAAGCUUUCCUUAAAUGUCAAGUAUGUUGAAGUAUUGUUCAUAUUCAUGGAGUAAAAUGACAGCAACAUUUCAUAGGGUUGCCCCCACCCCCAACCUUUUGGAUCUGGUGCUAGUUUAUUCUUCAUUGUUUCUGUGUACUUUCUCCAUGAAGACUGCAACCCCUUGAACAAUUAGCCCCCAACAGACUGAGUAAGUACUAGCCAAACACUGGAUUCCUAUAGCUAUGUUAAUGUAUUGCUUUGGGGACUAUGGAGCUUUCAGAUAACGAUGCUCUUUUUUUCUUGUAGAGUGAGAGCAUUUUUCUAGGAGUUAGUUUUAAGAUGGUCGAAUCCAUAUUAGCUUUGUAUCCCUAUCCUCUAGGCACUAGUUCAAGGAUUUAAGUGUAUGCAAGAAUCAGAAUAUGCUUAUUUAAAAUGCAGAUUCUCUGGUCUUUUUAAAGUAUAAUUUUUAAAAAUUUCUUUAUUAUUAUUAUUAUUAAACUUUAAGUUUUAGGGUACAUGUGCACACUGUGCAGGUUAGUUACAUAUGUAUACAUGUGCCAUGCUGGUGUGCUGCACCCAUUAACUCGUCUUUUAGCAUUAGGUAUAUCUCCUAAUGCUAUCCCUCCCCCCUCCCCCCACCCCACAACAGUCCCCAGAGUGUGAUGUUCCCCUUCCUGUGUUCAUGUGUUCUCAUUGUUCAAUUCCCACCUAUGAGUGAGAACAUGCGGUGUUUGGUUUUUUGUUCUUGCGAUAGUUUACUGAGAAUGAUGAUUUCCAGUUUCAUCCAUGUCCCUACAAAGGACAUGAACUCACCAUUUUUUAUGGCUGCAUAGUAUUCCAUGGUGUAUAUGUGCCACAUUUUCUUAAUCCAGUCUAUCAUUGUUGGACAUUUGGAUUGAUUCCCAGUCUUUGCUAUUGUGAAUAGUGCCGCAAUAAACAUACGUGUGCAUGUGUCUUUAUAGCAGCAUGAUUUAUAGUCCUUUGGGUAUAUACCCAGUAAUGGGAUGGCUGGGUCAAAUGGUAUUUCUAGUUCAAGAUCCCUGAGGAAUCGCCGCACUGACUUCCACAAGGGUUGAACUAGUUUACAGUCCCACUAACAGUGUAAAAGUGUUCCUAUUUCUCCACAUCCUCUCCAGCACCUGUUGUUUCCUGACUUAAUGAUUGCCAUUCUAACUGGUGUGAGGUGGUAUCUCAUUGUGGUUUUGAUUUGCAUUUCUCUGAUGGCCAGUGAUGAUGAGCAUUUUUUCAUGUGUUUUUUGGCUGCAUAGAUGUCUUCUUUUGAGAAGUAUCUGUUCAUGUCCUUUGCCCACUUUUUGAUGGUGUUGUUUGUUUUUUUCUUGUAAAUUUGUUUGAGUUCAUUGUAGAUUCUGGAUAUUAGCCCUUUGUCAGAUGAGUAGGUUGCUAAAAUUUUCUCCCAUUUUGUAGGUUGCCUGUUCACUCUGAUAGUAGUUUCUUUUGCUGUGCAGAAGCUCUUUAGUUUAAUUAGAUCCCAUUUGUCAAUUUUGUCUUUUGUUGCCAUUGCUUUUGGUGUUUUAGACAUGAAGUCCUUCCUAAGCCAAGAGAACAAAGCUGGCGGCAUCACGCUACCUGACUUCAAACUAUACUACAAGGCUACAGUAACCAAAACAGCAUGGUACUGGUACCAAAACAGAGAUAUAGAUCAAUGGAACAGAACAGAGCCCUCAGAAAUAACGCCACGUAUCUACAACUAUCUGAUCUUUGACAAACCUGAGAAAAACAAGCAACGGGGAAAGGGUUCCCUAUUUAAUAAAUAGUGGUGGGAAAACUGGCUAGCCAUAUGUAGAAAGCUGAAACUGGAUCCCUUCCUUACACCUUAUACAAAAAUUAAUUCAACAUGGAUUAAAGACUUAAACGUUAGACCUAAAACCAUAAAAACCCUAGAAGAAAACCUAGGCAUUACCAUUCAGGACAUAGGCAUGGGCAAGGACUUCAUGUCUAAAAAUUUCUGUUUCUAUUUUUUUUAUUGAUAUGUAGUAGUUGUAGAUUCUCUGGUCUUAUCUUUAGAGAUUCCGAUACUUUAGGUCUGUAGUGGAGCCUAUGAAUUGGUACAACAAGUGAUUCUGAUGCUGAUUCAGAAUCAGAAGAGGCAACUUACUGUUGACAGUGGACAAGUGAUUCUGUUAGGCCAUUUCUUUGAUAUAGGAAGAUAAAUUUCUAGGGUUGCUGGGAAGAUUAUGGACAGAUUAUGAUCUUGAAAGAAGUCCUAAAGGUGGACUGUAUUAAAUAAAGUGUAUAUUCUAGGAAAGAGGAUGUAAAUCCAUAUAGGGGAGAUUUCUUUUUCUAAUAAUCAGCUUUAUCAAUGGAAAGAUACUUGUGAAUGUGUUUCAUCUUUGAAGAAUAAAAGAAAAUAUCAAUUUGAGAUGUCAUAGAGAAGGUUCCUCUGUGGGAAAUAAGGUUUUACUAGUUGACUUCUAAAGCUGCCGUAAAUUAUUUUUCAGAACAAGACAAAGAAUGUAUAAAGAAGUAGCCUCUUGGGUUUCUACCAGCUCACAGAUUCUUUGGGUGUUUUUAAGGCAUUCAAAAGAGAAAGGACUAGCUCAUAUUUUUAUCACAGUUUUUGCCUACUUCCUUCAACAUGGGGGCAUCCUGGUAGAGAAAAACAAUUUAAAACUGUUUCCAGAUAUUUUGGUAAAAGUUUCCACUCUACUAUGGGUAAGUAGUGAAUUAGAAUUAGCAUGACUAGGAUUGCUACUAUCUUUGGAUAAGACUUAUAAACCACAUGAAUGAUAAGAAAGAAACUGUUAUAUGAAGAGUUUGCCCUGGAUGAUUUCUAAGAACUCUUUACUUCUAGGUUCUCUAAGUUCUAAAACCCUAUAGGUUCACCUGAGUUCUUAUCCACCCUUAUGAAAAACUGCUAGAGAACUCACAGAAUUUCAUCUCUCUACCUCAUUCCCUGAACAAAGUCAGGGAAUGAGGUAGAGAGAUGACUCCAAUAACCCCAGCUCCUUAUUCCAUCUUUUAAAUGAUUUUUUAUAAAUUUCAGUAGGUUUUUGGGGAACAGGUGGUGUUUGGUUACAUGGAUAAGUUCUUUAGUGGUGAUUUCUGAGAUUUUGGUGCACCCAUCACCCAAGCAGUAUACACCGUAUCCAAUGUAUAGUCUUUUAUCCCUCACUCCCCUCCCACCCUUCCCCCUGAAUCUGCAAAGUCCAUUGCAUCAUUUUUAUGUCUUUGCAUCCUUAGAGCUUAGCUCCGUCUCAUGAGUGAGAACAUACAAUGCAUCGUUUUCCAUUCCUGGGUUACUUCACUUAGAAUAAUGGUCUCCAAAUCCAUCCAGGUUCCUUCGAAUUACAUUAUUUCAUUCUUUUUUAUGACUGAGUAGUAUUUCAUAGUAUAUGUAUAUAUAUAUAUUGCAUUUUCUUUAUCCACUCGUUGAUCGAUGAGCAUUUGGGCUGGUUCCAUAUUUUUGCAAUUGCGAAUUAUGUUGCUAUAAACAUGCAUGUGCAAGUGUCUUUUUUAUAUUAUGACUUUUCCUCUGGGUAGAUAUCCAGUAGCAGGAUUCCUGGAGCAAAUGGCAAAUCUACUUUUAGUUCUUUAAGGAAUCUCCAUAUUUUUUUCCAUACCAGCAGGGUAAAAGUGUUCCCUUUUCACCACAGCCAUGCCAACAUCUAUUAUUUUUGGAUUUUUUAAUUAUGACCAUUCUUGCAGAAGUAAGGUGGUAUUGCACUGUGGUUUUGAUUUGCAUUUCCCUGAUAAUUAGUGAUACUGAGCAUUUUAAAAAUAUGUUUGUUGGCCAUGUGUAUAUCUUCUUUUGAUAAUUGUCUAUUUAUGUCCUUAGCCAACUUUUUGAUGUGAUUAUUUGUAUUUGGUUGGAUUUUUUUUUUUUUGUCUUGUGAUUUGUUUGAUUGCCUUGUAGAUUCUGGAUAUUAUUCCUUUGUUGAAUGCUUCGUUUGUGAAGAUUUUCUCCCACUCUGAGGGUUCUGUUUACUCUGCUGAUUAUUUCUUUUGCGGUAUAGAAGCUUUUUAGUUUAAUUAAGUUCCACCUUUUUAUUUUUGUUUUUGUUGCAUUUGCUUUAGGGUUCUUGGUCAUGAAGUCUUUGCCUAAGCCAAUGUUUAGAAGGGUUUUUCUGAUGUUACCUUCUAGAAUGUUUACAGUUUCAGGUCUCAGAUUUAAAUCUUUGAUCCAUAUUGAAUUGAUGUUUGUAUAAGGUGAGAGAUUAGGAUCUAGUUUCAUUCUCCUACAUGUGUCUUGCCAAUUAUCCCAGCACCAAUUGUUAAAUAGGGUGUACUUUCUCCACUUUAUGUUUUUGUUUGCUUUGUUGAAGAUCAGCUGGCUGUAAGUAUUUGGCUUUAUUUCUGGGUUCUCUAUUCUGUUCCAUUAGUCUACAUGCUUAUUUUUAUACCAGAACCAUGCAGUUUUGGUGAUUAUAGCCUUGUAGUAUAGUUUGAAGCCAGGUAAUGUGAUGCCUCCAGAUUUGUUUUUUUGCUGCUUAGUCUGGCUUUGGCUAUGCAGGCUUUUUUUUUGUUUUAGUUCCAUAUGAAUUUUAGGGUUGUUUUUUCUAGUUGUGUGAAGAAUUAUAAUGAUAUUUUGAUGGGAAUUGCAUUAAAUUUUUAGAUUGCUUUUGGCAGCAUGGUCAUUUUGACAUUAUUGGUUCUGCCCAUCCAUGAGUAUGGGAUGUGUUUUUAUUUGUUUGUGUCAUCUAUGAUUUCUUUCAGCAGUGUUUUGUAGUUUUUGUUGUAGAGGUCUUUCAACUCCUUGGUUAGGUAUUGUGUAAGGCCAUGGGAGCCCACCUCUUCCAUCAGCAUGACCUAGAUGUGAGACAUAGAGGCAAAGGAGAACAUUUCAGAGCUUUAAGAUUUGAUUGCCCUGCUGGAUUUCAGACUCGCAUGGGGCCUGGAGCCCCUUCAUUUUGGCCAAUUUCGCUCAUUUGGAACAGCUAUAUUUACCCAAUGCCUUUACCCCCAUUGUAUCUAGGAAGUAACUAACUUGCUUUUGAUAUUAUAGGCUCAUAGGUGGAAGAGACUUGCCUUGUCUCAGAUGAGACUUUGGACUUGGACUUUUGGGUUAGUGCUGGAAUGAAGCUUCUGAACAGCAAAAGAAACCGUCAUCAGAGUGAAUAGGCAAACUACAGAAUGGGGGGAAAAUUUUGCAAUCUAUCCAUCUGACAAAGGGCUAAUAUCCAGAAUCUACAAGAAACUUAAACAAAUAUACAAGAAAAAAACAAACAACCCCAUGAAAAAGUGGGCAAAGGAUAUAAACAGACACUUCUCAAAAGAAGACAUUUUUGGGAGGACAAGGUGGGUGGAUCACCGGAGGUGAGGAGUUUGAGACAAGCCUGGCCAAUAUGGAGAAACCCCGUCUUUACUAAAAAUACAAAAAUUUGCUGGGCGUGCUGGUGGGCACUUGUAAUCCCAGCUACUUGGAAGGCUGAGGCAGGAGAAUUGCUUGAACCCCAGAGGCGGAGGUUGCAGUGGGCCAAGAUUGUGCCACUGCACUCCAGCUUGGGUGACAAGAGCAAAACUCUGUCUCAAAAAAAAAAAAAAAAAAACCAUAAUCCCAGGACUUUGGGAGGCCGAGGCGGGCAGAUCAUGAGGUCAGGAGAUUGAGAACAUCCUGGCUAACACGGUGAAACCCUGUCUCUACUAAAAAUACAAAAAAUUAGCCAGGUGUGGUGGCAGGUGCCUGUGGUCCCAGCUACUUGCGAGGCUGAGGCAGGAGAAUGGCGUGAACCCGGGAGGCAGAGCUUGCAGUGAGCUGAGAUCGUGCCACUGCACCCCAGCCUGGGCGACAGAGUGAGAAUCCAUCUCAAAAAAAAAAAAAAAAGAAACAGAAGACAUUUAUGUGACCAACAAACAUAUGAAAAAAAGCUCAUCAUCACUGGUCAUUAGAUCAAUGCAAAUCAAAACCACAAUGAGAUACCAUCUCACGCCAGUUAGAAUGGCGAACAUUAAAAAGUCGGGAAAUAACAGAUGCUGGAGAGGAUGUGGAGAAACAGGAACGCUUUUACACUGUUGCUGGGACGGUAAACUAGUUCAACCAUUGUGGAAGACAGUGUGGCACUUCCUCAAGGAUCUAGAACCAGUAAUACCGUUUGACCCAGCAAUGCCAUUACUGGGUAUAUACUCAAAGGAUUAUAAAUCAUUCUGCUAUAAAGACGCAUGCAUACAUAUGUUUACUGCAGCACUGUUCACAAAAGCAAAGACAUGGAACCAACCCAAAUGCCCAUCAAUGAUAGACUGGAUUAAGAAAAUGUGGCACAUAUACACCAUAGAGUAGUAUGCAGCCAUAGAAAGGAUGAGUUAAUGUCCUUUGCAGGGAUAUGGAUGAAGCUGAAAACCAUCAUUCUCAGCAAGCUUACACAGGAACAGAAAACCAAACACCGCAUGUUCUCACUCGUAAGUGGGAGUUGAACAAUGAGAACACAUGGACACAGGGAGGGGAACAUCACACACCGGGGCCUGAUGAGGAAUGGGAGUUAGGGGAGGGAUAGCAUCAGAAGAAAUACCUAAUGUAGAUGACGGGUUGAUGGGUGCAGCAAACCACCAUGGCAUGUGUAGACCUAUGUAACAAACGUGCACGUUCUGCACAGGUAUCCCAGAACUUAAAGUAUUAAAAAAAAAAAAAGACUUUGGGGGACUAUUGGGAAGGCAUGAUUUGUUUUGAAAUGUAAAAGAGACAUGAGGUUUGGGAGGGGCCCGGGGCAGAAUGAUAUGGUUAGGUUUUGUGCCCCCACCCAAAUCUCAUCUUGAAUUGUAAUCCCCAUAAUCCCCACGUGUCAAGGGAGAGACCAGGUGGAGAUAAUUUAAUCAUGGGGUCAGUUCCCCAAUGCUGACCUCAUGAUAGUGAGUUCUUAUGAGAUGUGAUGGUUUUAUAUAGGCCUCUUCCCUCUUCACUGGGCACUUCUCCUUCCUGCCACCUUGUGAUGAAGGUGCUUUGCUUCCCCAUCACCUUCUGCCAUGAUUGUAAGUUUCCUGAGGUCUCCCCAGUCAUGCCGAACUGUGAGUCAAUUAAAUCUUUUUCCUGUAUAAAUUACCCAGUCUUGGGCAGUUCUUUACAACAGUAUGAAAAUGGAC
rnacentral:lncRNA from 1 species